UGGGGCUGUAGUCGGUCCCAAGGGUUGGGCUGUUCGCCCAUUAAAGCGGUACGCGAGCUGGGUUCAGAACGUCGUGAGACAGUUCGGUCCCUAUCCGUCGUGGGCGUAGGAAAUUUGAGAGGAGCUGUCCUUAGUACGAGAGGACCGGGAUGGACAUACCUCUGGUGUACCAGUUGUCGUGCCAACGGCAUAGCUGGGUAGCUAUGUAUGGACGGGAU
rnacentral:rRNA from 1 species